rnacentral:rRNA from 1 species
GACGGAGGAGGCGAGCGUUAUCCGGAAUUAUUGGGCGUAAAGGGUACGUAGGCGGCUGGUCAAGUCUGGGGUUAAAGACCACAGCUCAACUGUGGGAAGGCCCUGGAAACUGACCGGCUAGAGUGAGGUAGGGGUUGCGGGAAUUCCAGGUGUAGCGGUGAAGUGCGUAGAUAUCGGGAAGAACACCUGAGGCGGAAGCGCGCAACUGGGCCUCAACUGACGCUGAGGUACGAAAGCUAGGGGAGCGAAUGGG